GCUGGGUGUGGUGGCGGGCACCUGUAAUCCCAGCUACUUAGGAGGCUGAAGCAGGAGAAUUGCUUGAACUCGGGAGGCGGAGGUUGCAGUGAGCUGAGAUCGUGCCACUGCACUCCAGCCUGGGUGACAGAGCAAGACUCUGUCUCAA
rfam:Papio anubis isolate 1X1155 chromosome 11, whole genome shotgun sequence.